AUUGAACGCUGGCGGCAGGCUUAACACAUGCAAGUCGAACGAGUGGCGGACGGGUGAGUAAUGUCUGGGAAACUACCUGAUGGAGGGGGAUAACUACGGGAAACGGUAGCUAAUACCGCGUACCAUAGGAUGAGCCCAGGUGGGAUUAGCUAGUAGGGGAGGUAAAGGCUCACCAAGGCGACGAUCUCUAGCUGGUCUGCGAGGAUGACCAGCCACACUGGAACUGAGACACGGCCCAGACUCCUACGUGAGGCAGCAGUGGGGAAUAUUGCACAAUGGGCGCAACCCUGAUGCAGCCAGGCCGCGUGUAUGAAGAAGGCCUUCGGGUUGUAAAGUUCUUUCAGUGGGGAGGCGUUACCCGCAGAAGAAGCACCGGCUAACGCCGUGCCAGCAGCCGCGGUAAUUC
rnacentral:rRNA from 1 species